GACGAACGCUGGCGGCGUGCUUAACACAUGCAAGUCGAACGGAAAGGCCCUGCUUUUGUGGGGUGCUCGAGUGGCGAACGGGUGAGUAACACGUGAGUAACCUGCCCUUGACUUUGGGAUAACUUCAGGAAACUGGGGCUACUACCGGAUAGGAGCUCCUGCUGCAUGGUGGGGGUUGGAAAGUUUCGGCGGUUGGGGAUGGACUCGCGGCUUAUCAGCUUGUUGGUGGGGUAGUGGCUUACCAAGGCUUUGACGGGUAGCCGGCCUGAGAGGGUGACCGGCGACAUUGGGACUGAGAUACGGCCCAGACUGCUACGGGAGGCAGCAGUGGGGAAUAUUGCACAAUGGGCGGAAGCCUGAUGCAGCAACGCCGCGUGCGGGAUGACGGCCUUCGGGUUGUAAACCGCUUUCGCCUGUGACGAAGCGUGAGUGACGGUAAUGGGUAAAGAAGCACCGGCUAACUACGUG
rnacentral:rRNA from 1 species